AUAUAUAUAAAAUUAUAGUAUUCUAGGUUGUAGUUUAUAGUUAUGAUUAAUCU
rnacentral:guide_RNA from 1 species